rnacentral:rRNA from 3 species
AAUUUUUUAUGGAGAGUUUGAUCCUGGCUCAGGAUGAACGCUGGCGGCGUGCCUAAUACAUGCAAGUCGAGC